rnacentral:rRNA from 1 species
UUGGGUCUCUUCGGAGGCUUCAGGUGUGUUCCGAGGUAAUUUUGCGCCGGCCAUCUUUUCGGUGGGGGUGUCCAAUUUAAAAGUUGGAUGCCAUCCAAACUCACCGAAUCCUUUACUGUGAAAAAAUUAGAGUGUUUAAAGCAGGCUUCUCAAGCAUUUGAAUACAUUAGCAUGGAAUAAUAAGAUAGGACUCUGGUUCUAUUUUGUUGGUUUCUAGGAUGAGAGUAAUGAUUGAUAGGGAUAGUUGGGGGUGCUAGUAUUUAACGGC